UUCUGAAGAUUGCAAGGGGUUAGGUAGAGCUCUAGGCCUCUAGCCUAGCCAGCCUUUCUCUUCCCUUCUCCUUAUAUACCACACUAGAACACAGGAGCAAGAACAAGCCACACCAUUGCUCAUCACCUCUCCAUCUUUAGUUUGAAGUAUCUCAGUUUUGCGAUUCUCCUCGCUGUUCACCGCGAAUAAUCAAGCAUCGAUUGACGACGACGAUGGACGAACCAUCGCAGGGCGGUGACCAGAAGCUGUCGGCCAUGGAGCAUGUCAAGAAACGCCAUGAAGAGAAGGGCUUCCUCUAUGCCUGCUUGUUCAUGCUGUGCUGCUGCUUCUGCUGCUACGAAACCUGCGAGCACUGCCUCGAGUGCUUCUGCUGCUGCUGCAAGAAGGACAACUGAUAGAGAUCAAGAUCGAUUUCCUGGAUUUGUUAGCGAAUUGUUCGUCGAAAUAAUAAAAGGCUAGCUUGGUGUGAUUCUUCUCGGUUUUAAUUUGUGUGUUAACUAUGCGUUAACCGUGGUGAGCUAGCUAAUAGUUAUGUACUCCAUGCUGUGACUAUGAGUGAGCGAGUGAAUUGCAGGUGGAUUGUGGUUGUAAGUUUGUAAGCUGGAUUUCUGAUUUUUCAUGUCAGUUCAUUGUUGUAGUACAAAUUCUUGUGUAAACAUAAGUGUAGGUGAUUCAUGUUGCAGUUAUCCAGUUAUUUCUUCUGCUUGCAUAAACUGAUACACAGAAGUUCAGAUUA